UCGNAAACCUAAUCCGGAAAAGGGAACGACCUGCUGAACGAGCUGAUUACACAUGCGGUGCUCGGGAACCCUCAACGGUCCCCUCGCCCGCCGAGUCCGUGAUGGCACGUGAGGUCCCUCGAGUCUUCUCGAUGGGUCUUUCGUGUCACCGCGGAAAUCACCAAACCCCGGCGCGGUAAGCGCCAAGGAAUAUACAACGAAACAGCUCGCUCCGGCCGCCCCUUACAAGGUGUGCGUUCGGAUGUGUUGCUGCGAUCAUAAGUCUAUAACGACUCUCGGCAACGGAUAUCUCGGCUCUCGCAUCGAUGAAGAACGUAGCGAAAUGCGAUACUUGGUGUGAAUUGCAGAAUCCCGUGAACCAUCGAGUCUUUGAACGCAAGUUGCGCCCCAAGCCGUCAGGCCGAGGGCACGUCUGCCUGGGUGUCACGCAUCGUCGUCCCCCCACCACUCGGUGCAACUCGCCCGGGUGAGCGUGGAGACGGAGAAUGGUCUCCCGUGUGUUACCGCACGCGGUUGGCCCAAAAACGAGCCACGGACGCGGAGCGUUCCGACUAGCGGUGGUGUAUAUCCUCGUGGUAACGUCGGUCGCUCCCGUCACUACGAACUCUACGACCCUUCAGAGACGCUACGGCGACUCUCCGAACGCGACCCCAGAGUCAGGUCA
rnacentral:rRNA from 1 species